GCAAGGUGUCCCAUUCUGUCUCUGUAUUACCAAACCAACUUCAAUCUUCAACUAAUCUUCACCGCUGCAGCUGCAACACCGUCCUCUCUUGACAUCACCACAGCGACUCCGCAGUUACCAGCAUGGACACGCGCUUCAUAGGCAUGAACCCUGAGAGAGAGACAAAAACAUCAAAAGGAAAUGUGACAUCUAAAACCACAGGGCGACUUGUACAGGGAAACGGGUUGAACCCGCAUGUCUACUCUGCAAACUGAUUGACUACGAGUGGAAUUUCUAAAAUGUAUUUCCAGCUACUGCUUGGACCCUUUGGGUCAGGAUCUGGACCUGAAGUACUCUCCAUUUCAUUCUUUACUUGUUCAGAAGAGACUCACUUGGGGCCUUGUUGGCUUAGGCCAUGUUGGCCAGUUCAUGAAGUGUUAAAAUAUCUUCAAUGCCUCUGUGGCUUUUUCAUGACCAUGUUGGUCAAUGUAUGUAGUUUAAUAAAGCAUAUGCACUUUGCAUCCUUCUUUUCAUUUUUUAAACUUCACAAUACAGAAGUACAAAAUGAACUUUGUAUUGUUUUUAAGACUGACCUCAAAUGGUGUCGAUGACCUUUCUUUACUUCAGUGGCAGGGGACCAGGCUUUUAUUUGGGGUUAUUUUAGAGACAUGCCUUUAUAUCUACAUGUAUCAUAUGAGCACUUGUUGGUUACAAGUAAUUCCAACCCACUCAGUGUUUUUUUUUAACCUGUUAUUUGAGACCAUUUUUUGAAUAUUGACUUUUAUAUGGGAAUAUACAGUAUGUGAAUUUUUAAAAGAUCCUUUGCACUUGAAGGACUUUGUAAGAGCAUUUUGAACAGUUGUAAAUGUAAGUUAUAUUUUAAGUAAACUUUGACCAGUUUUUUCAAGAUAUCCAAAUGAUUUGUUAAUAUGUUAAGUGAAAUAAUAACUGAAUUGACUUAUAUGCAUUAUACAACACA